GGGUGGUGCUGUGAUGGGGAACGGCGGUGCGGUGGUGACGAAAUGCUGCUCCUUGUGCUCUGAUGUUAGUACGUGACGUGUGAUGCCUCCUGGGCUGGCGGAAAGGAAGCGGCCGGCGACACAGCGGUUCAUCACGUCGCCUUCACUUAGUGCAUGAUCGAUGGGCGCCGCGUCACCAUGCAGACAGACCCUGAUUGUAGCUGACUAGGAUGAACUGCACUAUCUAGUAUACAAGUAAGAGGUGUAUGGCAGUCAAGACGAAGACUCCUCACCACCAAGCGUUCCCUCCUCCUCUGUCUCCUUCCUUCACGACCACCGAUACUUCUCUGAUCCACUUGAGCCAGACGAGGAGACUCCGCCGCGAAACCUUUGUCAGGAAUCAUCAAACAGCCGCGCGGUGCUCCUUUCCAGCCUCCCAGGGAAUUGUCAGUGAGGGAAGCGCAAGAAGGGGACGUCCUGGCAAGAAACCUUCCCCCCAACCCUGCGCUAUUCCCAGAAGGAACUCCCAGCCCGGCACGAUUCCUAAUUCCUAGUAACUCACCCGGGUCCUAAUUAUUUCUUAAUUCUGAGCUAUGUUGCGUUUUCACGGACAGGGUCCCCGAGGUGCUCCUAAACCCGGCACAUCUUCGUCCCGUCGCAGUACUUUUCGUUCACCGCCUAGGCCAGAUCCACGGCGAGUUAUGAUCCUUUUGGGGAAACUCCGAAAAUGCGACACAGGACAAUAGUUGGGUCGAGAUGCGAGUUGAUGAACCUCACAGCGGCCUUUACCGUCCCGCCCGCAGCCUCCGAAUUUAUCACUCAUUAUUGCGGGUUUACUGUAAUGAAAGUGCAGGUGAAUAAAUUAAUUAAACUUGGGAGAAGUAGAGAAAGUGAGUCAUUUGGGGGAAAGUUUACCGUUUAGAGUGGAAGGAAAGAAAGAAGGAAGGAAAGAGAGAAAGAUGGAGAAGUGAGGGACGCAAGGGGAGGGCGUCGAGGAGGAAGAUAAAGAGAGUGAGAUGAGCUGGAGAGUAAGAAUGAGAGGGAGGAAAGUGAAACGAGUGAGGGCGGAGGCAGAAUGAGAAGGACGGCGGAAAAUGAAGGGAUAAUUUGCAAGAAAAGGAGAGAGAAUGGAGAAAAAUAAUAGUAAUGAAAGGAAGAAACGGAGGAUAGGCGGAGAAAGUAGAAAAGGAAGGUGAAUAAGAGAAAUAAGAGAUUGGAGAAAGGGAGACGGAGAAAAAUGAUGAUGAUGAUGAUGAUGAUGAAAAAGAGGAAGGAAAGAAUUAAAGACAAGACAAAAAAAAAAAAAAAGAAACAGAUGGCAAAGAAAUACAUUAAUUAGUGAGAGUUUCAUGUCAGUAGUCGAGAAGCUUAAUGAAAAUUCACCCUCUUUCCUUCCCCUUUCCCUCCCAUCCCUUCAUUUGUCCUUCCUUCCCUCACCUCUCCUCCCUCAGUCUUGUGUGUAAUGGAACCUACCACCUCGCCCAUCUAUACUCCCUUUCCUCCCCUCACCCCUUUCCUCCCCUCACCCCUUUCCUCUCCCUCCUGAUGGUGCUGCUACAGGUGAUUAUGGCUCCCUUAUUGUCUUCGCUUGAUUAACUCUGUUUUAGAUCCUCAGGUGAUCGCUUAAUUGUUCCGGACCAGCUUUUUAAACCCAUUUUCUCUUUGUAAUUGGAAUGUUUCUCUCUUUUAUUGUCUCUCUGAUCGUAAUGAAGUCUGGAAAUGUGGAGAUAGAGUGGAAGAGUCUGGGCAUAAUUGUAUUUUAAUUCUUCAUUUUUUUGUGUGUGUGUGUUUUGUGUGUUUUGUUCUUGUAUGUUUUUUUUUUUUCAUAAAGACAGUUAUGUUACCUGUGUUCUUUAUUAUGUUUAUUUAUUCUUUUUUUUUUUUUUGCAUUUUUGCCAUGUCACUUAUAUUUUGUUAAUGUUCAUAUGCACGCUAUGUUAUCUAGCUUUUUUUUUUUUUUCAUUAAAUGCCACAUUUAUUGUUUUAUUUAUAAAGUAUCUCCACAUGUUCCUCUAGACACGUGUGAUCUCAUUCAUUCCCUAUUCGAAGCAUUUUUUCCCCUCUAUAACAUUCCUGUAACAACGUAUCCCUACUAUCUCCUCUCCCUUUCCUACUCUCUUUAUUUCUCCCUUAGUUCCUUUUCUACCAAGACGUUCUCCUCCUUAUGUAUUCUCUUUAUCCUCUCCCUCUUUCCUUCUCCCUUCUUACUCUUUAUGUAUUUCCUUAAUUCUCAGUCAUUUUCCUGUCCUUUCCUCUGUUUUACCUUUUCUUACACUCUUUAUUUCUCCCUUAAUACCUUUUCUAUCCACCCAAGACAUCCCCCCCCUUCUAUAUUCUCCUUAUCUUCUCCCUCUUUCCUUCUUUCCUCUUACUCUCUCCAUCGUCUCCUCCGCCGUGUAAUCUCCCGUAUUAGCAGGGCUCAUGUCCCUUCACCGUACUUAAUCAGAAGUUAAGCCCAGAGUUCCUAUGGGAUUGUUCUUGUGUCCAGUGUA